AUUGAACGCUGGCGGCAUGCCUUACACAUGCAAGUCGAACGGCAGCACGGGAGCAAUCCUGGUGGCGAGUGGCGAACGGGUGAGUAAUAUAUCGGAACGUGCCCAGUAGUGGGGGGAUAACUGCUCGAAAGAGCAGCUAAUACCGCGUACGACCUGAGGGUGAAAGGGGGGGAUCGCAAGACCUCUCGCUAUUGGAGCGGCCGAUAUCAGAUUAGCUAGUUGGUGGGGUAAAGGCCUACCAAGGCAACGAUCUGUAGUUGGUCUGAGAGGACGACCAGCCACACUGGGACUGAGACACGGCCCAGACUCCUACGGGAGGCAGCAGUGGGGAAUUUUGGACAAUGGGCGCAAGCCUGAUCCAGCAAUGCCGCGUGCAGGAAGAAGGCCUCGGUUGUAACUAGCUUUGUCUAGGGGAGGAAAGUACCUCUA
rnacentral:rRNA from 1 species